rnacentral:rRNA from 1 species
GUGCAGCAGUCGCGAAAACUCCGCAAUACGCGAAAGCGUGACGGGGCCAUCCCGAGUGCCGUCCGCUGAGGAUGGCUUUUCCCCUGUGUAGAUAGCUGGGGGAAUAAGGAGAGGGCAAGUCUGGUGUCAGCCGCCGCGGUAAUACCAGCUCUUCGAGUGGUAGGGAUGUUUAUUGGGCCUGAAGCAUCCGUAGCUGGCUGCACAAGUCCUCCGUUAAAUCCAGCGAUUUAAUCGUUGGAUUGCGGGGGAUACUGCUCGGCUAGGGGGUGGGAGAGGCCAACGGUAUUCGCGGGGUAGGGGUGAAAUCCUAUAAGCCCGGGAGGACCACCAGUGGCGAAGGCGGCCGACUAAAACGCGCCCGACGGUGAGGGACGAAAGCUGGGGGAGCGAACGGGAUUAGAUAUGAAGUUGAGGGUGUGCCAGCUUCACUAGAAACCCCGGGAGUCC